rnacentral:rRNA from 1 species
UGGGGAAUAUUGGACAAUGGGCGCAAGCCUGAUCCAGCCAUGCCGCGUGAGUGACGAAGGCCUUAGGGUUGUAAAGCUCUUUUGGCGGGGAAGAUAAUGACGGUACCCGCAGAAUAAGCUCCGGCUAACUUCGUGCCAGCAGCCGCGGUAAUACGAAGGGAGCUAGCGUUGUUCGGAAUCACUGGGCGUAAAGCGCACGUAGGUGGGCAGUUAAGUCAGGGGUGAAAGCCCGAGGCUCAACCUCGGAAUUGCCUCUGAUACUGGCUGUCUAGAGUCCGAGAGAGGUGGGUGGAAUUCCUAGUGUAGAGGUGAAAUUCGUAGAUAUUAGGAAGAACACCGGUGGCGAAGGCGGCCCACUGGCUCGGUACUGACACUGAGGUGCGAAAGCGUGGGGAGCAAACAGGAUUAGAUACCCUUGUAGUCCCUGAGCGGGCUGGCAAGGCGCAU